UCCCCUUCUCUGUCCUCUUUCUUCCCAGUCGAUACCACUCUUUCUUUUCCUCUCUCGCAUUUCAGUCGGCCAGACCAGAUAAGCCAUCUCCGCCCACCACCCAAUGACACGCACCCCACCACGAGCUUCCUUGGCCCCCGAAACCCCCAACCGAUGAAGCUCGCCUCCCCACUCGCCGGCCUCCGUCGCGAUUGGCUCCCCGAAGUUCCGUCGCCGCUGUGAGUUUGGAGGAUUGUUCUGGCCUCCACCGUGGAUGAUGAAGGCUCCUGCUGGCGACGAUGAUGGGGAAGGCGACGGCGAAGGCUCCUGAGCUGGUGAAGUUCUCAAGCGUGGGUGGUGUUGCCAUUCUCUUCAAGGUAAAUUUGUAUUAAUUGACACUUAUGUUAAUACCAUCUCCUAUUAAUAUUAAGCUUCAUAUGAUUUGGGCAGCUAUAAAUUAAUCUAAUCGGAUGGUGUGUGUAGAGAGUUGAUUUGUUUGACUUAUCAUAUCCACGUAAACCACAAUUUUGACAGAGUGUUCAGAUUUUACAAAAUCAGUCAUCAGAUCAAGUUUGUAAAUUUGACCAAACUUCAUAAUGUGUCCUGCUUCCAAGGAUUGUUCUUUUGUCCAGAAGCAUGUUCUUUGUUGCUUCAUAACUUUUGCAUAUAUCAUAUUAGUCCUCCCGGCCAUGAGUUGGGAGCUGAAACAAUUAGUUUUGAUGAUCCUUUGCUUUCUGCUGAUGACUUGGUGGAUCCGAUCGCCGAUGUUCUUAAUUAUUUUGGGUUAAUAUUUUGACUGGUCUUGAAGCAUUGGAUCGGUAGCUAAUUGCAAGAGGUAUGUUGUAUUUAAUUUUUUUUAAUUUUCAAUAUUUUACAAUCUUGAAUGAUAAUUGUACUACUUUAGUGGAGUUUGAAUAUGUUAGAUAUUCAUUCGUAGUGAAGUAGGUUCUGAGAAUUCUGUGUGCUGCGGUGAUAACGGAAGAUUGAGAACUUGCAUGUCUUAGUGAAGUAGGUUAUGAGAAUUUUGUGUGCUGCGGUGAUAUAUGGAUGAAAACCUGUGUGUUGUUUGAUUUGAUUGACAUGUUGGUGUUGAAUGUGACAGAUGGCUAGGCUAGUAAAUUAGGGGAUAUGUUGUCCGAUUUUCUAUAGAUGGUGACAUGUUGGCUUUUCUCUUUUUCUUCUAUUUUCAGUGCAAGAUGUGUAUUUUACUAUGUUUUAAUUUUCAUGUAAUAUGCUUUUUUUAUAACUUAUUUUUUUGUUAAAUUUUCAUGUAGUAUAUUUCUGUUAAUUGAUGUUGUGCUUUGCUUAGAUUAUGUUGUGUGAUUAUAUCAUUAUAGCAAUUUAUGAUAUUCUACAAUUUUCUUGCAUAGCACAUGUUUGAUGAAAGUCCCAAGUUUUAUCCUAUAAUCUUAAUAUUAGGCUCCAAAAUCUAAAGGUUUGAGACACCUUUGAGCAUAUUUGGGCCAAGCCGGAUAUUUUUGCGCCUAACAGUAUCUACUUCUAGUCUUCCACUUAUACAAAGCCUUAAGCUCUUCUUUUUUAUCCAUUGUUUCCUCAUGCAAGCCCAAGGCCUUUCUUUGUCUCUUGUAAACACCAAUUUUUUAUUUAAAUUGUUUUUAGCAAAUUUAUGAUCAUGAGUAUCAUCUAGAAUGUGUUCAAGAGAGUCUAUGAGUUUUAGUUAGCCUCUCGUGGUUGCUUAACUAACUUUGUUACAACAGCCAUGUGAUGGGUUGUUAUUUCCGUUUUGGUUUCUUGAGAUUUAUAUAGUCUCUUGUGCACUAAUGAGAACUAACUUUUUCUAUCUUUUCUUUGCUUUUCUCUUGUGCACUAAUGAGCUUUAUACGUACAUAUAUAUAUUAAUUUAAAAAUUAAUUCUUUUGUAGAAAAUAUUAUAUAUAAAUAUAUAAUUGACCUCAAUGUAUCAGGUCUUCUUCAAUUUGUGUUUCGUGCUAAUUACAAUAUAGAACUAGAAGCAA